GACGAACGCUGGCGGCGUGCUUAACACAUGCAAGUCGAACGGUGAAGCGCCUUCCUUUUUGGUGGGUGUGGAUGAGUGGCGAACGGGUGAGUAACACGUGAGUAACCUGCCCCCUUCUUCUGGAUAACCGCAUGAAAGUGUGGCUAAUACGGGAUAUUCUGGGUCUGUCGCAUGAUGGGUCUGGGAAAGAUAUUGUUUCGGUGGGGGAUGGGCUCGCGGCCUAUCAGCUUGUUGGUGGGGUGAUGGCCUACCAAGGCGGUGACGGGUAGCCGGCCGGAGAGGGUGGACGGUGACACGGGGACUGAGACACGGCCCAGACGCCUACGGGAGGCAGCAGUGGGGAAUAUUGCAAUGGGCGCAAGCCUGAUGCAGCGACGCCGCGUGAGGGAUGGAGGCCUUCGGGUUGUGAACCUCUUUCGCCAGUGAAGCAGGCCUGCCUCGUUUGUGGGUGGGUUGACGGUAGCUGGAUAAGAAGCGCCGGCUAACUACGUG
rnacentral:rRNA from 1 species